UUGCACGCUGGCGGCCUGCCUUACCCAUGCAAGUCGCACGGUAACAGGUUAAGCCGACGCGUGGCGAACGGGUGAGUAAUGUAUCGGAACGUGCCCAGUCGUGGGGGAUAACUGCUCGAAAGAGCAGCUAAUACCGCAUACGACCUGAGGGUGAAAGCGGGGGAUCGCAAGACCUCGCGCGAUUGGAGCGGCCGAUAUCAGAUUAGGUAGUUGGUGAGGUAAAGGCUCACCAAGCCGACGAUCUGUAGCUGGUCUGAGAGGACGACCAGCCACACUGGGACUGAGACACGGCCCAGACUCCUACGGGAGGCAGCAGUGGGGAAUUUUGGACAAUGGGCGCAAGCCUGAUCCAGCCAUGCCGCGUGCGGGAAGAAGGCCUUCGGGUUGUAAACCGCUUUUGUCAGGGAAGAAAAGGUUCUGGCUAAUACCUGGGACUCAUGACGGUACCUGAAGAAUAAGCACCGGCUAACUACGUG
rnacentral:rRNA from 1 species